UACAGAGGUCUCAAGCGUUGUUCGGAUUCAUUGGGCGUAAAGGGUGCGUAGGUGGCGAGGUUAGUCAGGUGUGAAAUCUCGGGGCUCAACCCCGAAACUGCACUUGAUACUGCCUUGCUAGAGUACUGGAGAGGAGAUUGGAAUUUACGGUGUAGCAGUGAAAUGCGUAGAUAUCGUAAGGAAGACCAGUGGCGAAGGCGAAUCUCUGGACAGUUCCUGACGCUGAAGCACGAAGGCCAGGGGAGCAAACGGG
rnacentral:rRNA from 1 species